UACGUAGGGUGCAAGCGUUGUCCGGAAUUAUUGGGCGUAAAGAGCUCGUAGGCGGUUUGUCGCGUCGGCUGUGAAAGCCCGGAGCUCAACUCCGGGUCUGCAGUCGAUACGGGCAGACUAGAGUGCGGUAGGGGAGAUUGGAAUUCCUGGUGUAGCGGUGGAAUGCGCAGAUAUCAGGAGGAACACCAAUGGCGAAGGCAGAUCUCUGGGCCGUAACUGACGCUGAGGAGCGAAAGCAUGGGGAGCGAACAGG
rnacentral:rRNA from 1 species